CUCGACCAUACUUUAAUUGUUCAUUUUCCCUGAAAAAUUAACAGUGUUCUAUUUUCAUCUAUAUAUUGAUUGAAUCUUCAUACAUACAUAUCGAUGAGUCAAAAGAUAAGAUAAAAAAAAAAAAUAAAAAAAAUAAAAAAGCGAAGACGAUGGAUGGUACUAUUCAGUGCAACGCCAACUACGUUUCUCUCACUCCGAUCACCUUUUUGGAGCGCUCCGCCAUUGUUUACCCUAACAACCUCUCUAUCGUCUACGGUGAUCAUGUCACCUACACAUGGUCUCUCACUCAUCAACGCUGCAUCAAGCUCGCUUCUUCCAUUUCUCAACUCGGUGUUUCUCCUCGUGAUGUGGUUGCUGUAUUGGCCCCUAAUAUUCCAGCCAUGUAUGAGCUACAUUUUGCUGUUCCAAUGUCAGGGGCUGUUCUCUGCACUCUCAAUACUCGACACGAUUCAUCAAUGGUUUCAUUGUUAUUAAACCAUUCCGAUGCCAAAAUUCUUUUUGUAGAUCAUGAAUUACUUGAUAUUGCUCAGGGAGCACUUGAAAUCCUGUCAAAAUCAACCACCAAGCUACCCCUUUUGGUCUUGAUUUUGGAGUCUGAUGCUCAUCCAUCACCUCCUCUGGGAACAUUGAUCUAUGAGAAUCUUAUAGCUGAAGGGAAACUUGAAUUUGAGGUGAAAAGACCGAAGGAUGAACGCGAUCCAGUUUCACUCAAUUACACUUCUGGAACCACAUCAAGUCCUAAGGGUGUUAUAUAUAGCCAUAGAGGUGCUUAUCUCAAUGCUUUGGCUACUAUUCUUCUUAACGAGAUGCGGUCUAUGCCGGUGUAUUUAUGGUGUGUUCCAAUGUUUCAUUGCAAUGGAUGGUGUCUCCCUUGGAGUAUUGCUGCUCAGGGUGGAACAAAUGUCUGCCAAAGAAACGUAAAUGCUAAAGGAAUUUUUGACAAUAUUUUUAAGCACAAAGUAACACACAUGGGGGGUGCACCAGUAGUUCUCAAUAUGUUGAUAAAUUCACCUCCUGAAGUCAGAAAGCCACUUCCGGGGAAGGUGGCAGUGAUGACAGGUGGGGCUCCACCACCGCCGGAUGUGUUUUUCAGGAUGGAAGAACUAGGAUUUGAUGUAACUCAUUCAUAUGGUUUGACAGAAACCUAUGGUCCUGCAUCAAUUUGUACAUGGAAAUCCGAAUGGGGUAGCCUGCCUCGAGACGCGCAGGCGAAAUUGAAAGCACGUCAAGGAGUACAACAUAUUGGAAUGGAGGAACUGGAUGUAAAAGAUCCUGUCACUAUGAAGAGUGUACCGGCCGAUGCAAAAACCCUUGGUGAGGUAAUGUUCAGGGGAAACACUGUGAUGAGUGGAUAUCUAAAGGAUUCGAAAGCAACACAAGAUGCAUUUAAAGGUGGAUGGUUUAGGACCGGCGACUUGGGAGUAAAGCAUGCGGAUGGUUAUGUAGAACUUAAGGAUCGGUCGAAGGACAUUAUCAUCUCCGGUGGAGAAAACAUUAGCACAAUUGAGUUGGAAGGUGUGAUUUAUGGUCAUCCAGCAGUUGUUGAGGCUGCUGUUGUAGGGAGACCUGAUGAAUAUUGGGGAGAGACACCUUGUGCGUUUGUGAAGCUGAAGGAAGGGUAUAGUGCUACAGAGGAGGAGAUAAUACAAUUUUGUCGGGAGCGUUUGCCCCGAUUUAUGGUGCCUCGAACUGUGGUGUUUGCUGAUCUGCCAAAGACAUCGACCGGCAAGACACAAAAAUUUCUUUUGAAGGAGAAGGCAAAGGCUAUGGGAAGCUUGUCUAAGAAAAAGAACACUAGCAGAUUGUAAUGCAUUUAAAAAAAAACAGAAGAUUGAAUGCAAUAAUAUUCUUCAGUGUUAUAUAUGUGCUUUCAUCAUUACUAAAAAGUUAUUCUAUUUUGGCAUGGGACAAUGAUUCUGAUUACAUUCAACUAUUCAAGUAGAUGCACAUGUGGCAGGACUUGAUUUUGUAACAUAACUACUUAACUAGUGAAGUCAUAAUAAUGGAACUACUAGUGAAGGAUUUGAUUUGUUCUUCCAUUAAAUAA